rnacentral:rRNA from 1 species
GACGAACGCUGGCGGCGUGCUUAACACAUGCAAGUCGAACGCUGAAGCUUGGUGCUUGCACUGGGUGGAUGAGCGGCGAACGGGUGAGUAAUACGUGAGUAACCUGCCCUUGACUCUGGGAUAAGCCUGGGAAACUGGGUCUAAUACUGGAUAUGACAUGCCACUGCAUGGUGGUGUGUGGAAAGGGUUUUACUGGUUUUGGAUGGGCUCACGGCCUAUCAGCUUGUUGGUGGGGUAAUGGCCUACCAAGGCGACGACGGGUAGCCGGCCUGAGAGGGUGACCGGCCACACUGGGACUGAGACACGGCCCAGACUCCUACGGGAGGCAGCAGUGGGGAAUAUUGCACAAUGGGCGGAAGCCUGAUGCAGCGACGCCGCGUGAGGGAUGACGGCCUUCGGGUUGUAAACCUCUUUCAGCACGGAAGAAGCGAGAGUGACGGUACGUGCAGAAGAAGCGCCGGCUAACUACGUG